rnacentral:rRNA from 1 species
GAUGAACGCUGGCGGCGUGCCUAAUACAUGCAAGUCGAGCGAACGGACGAGAAGCUUGCUUCUCUGAUGUUAGCGGCGGACGGGUGAGUAACACGUGGAUAACCUACCUAUAAGACUGGGAUAACUUCGGGAAACCGGAGCUAAUACCGGAUAAUAUUUUGAACCGCAUGGUUCAAAAGUGAAAGACGGUCUUGCUGUCACUUAUAGAUGGAUCCGCGCUGCAUUAGCUAGUUGGUAAGGUAACGGCUUACCAAGGCAACGAUGCAUAGCCGACCUGAGAGGGUGAUCGGCCACACUGGAACUGAGACACGGUCCAGACUCCUACGGGAGGCAGCAGUAGGGAAUCUUCCGCAAUGGGCGAAAGCCUGACGGAGCAACGCCGCGUGAGUGAUGAAGGUCUUCGGAUCGUAAAACUCUGUUAUUAGGGAAGAACAUAUGUGUAAGUAACUGUGCACAUCUUGACGGUACCUAAUCAGAAAGCCACGGCUAACUACGUGCCAGCAGCCGCGGUAAUACGUAGGUGGCAAGCGUUAUCCGGAAUUAUUGGGCGUAAAGCGCGCGUAGGCGGUUUUUUAAGUCUGAUGUGAAAGCCCACGGCUCAACCGUGGAGGGUCAUUGGAAACUGGAAAACUUGAGUGCAGAAGAGGAAAGUGGAAUUCCAUGUGUAGCGGUGAAAUGCGCAGAGAUAUGGAGGAACACCAGUGGCGAAGGCGACUUUCUGGUCUGUAACUGACGCUGAUGUGCGAAAGCGUGGGGAUCAGACAGGAUUAGAUACCCUGGUAGUCCACGCCGUAAACGAUGAGUGCUAAGUGUUAGGGGGUUUCCGCCCCUUAGUGCUGCAGCUAACGCAUUAAGCACUCCGCCUGGGGAGUACGACCGCAAGGUUGAAACUCAAAGGAAUUGACGGGGACCCGCACAAGCGGUGGAGCAUGUGGUUUAAUUCGAAGCAACGCGAAGAACCUUACCAAAUCUUGACAUCCUUUGACAACUCUAGAGAUAGAGCUUUCCCCUUCGGGGGACAAAGUGACAGGUGGUGCAUGGUUGUCGUCAGCUCGUGUCGUGAGAUGUUGGGUUAAGUCCCGCAACGAGCGCAACCCUUAAGCUUAGUUGCCAUCAUUAAGUUGGGCACUCUAAGUUGACUGCCGGUGACAAACCGGAGGAAGGUGGGGAUGACGUCAAAUCAUCAUGCCCCUUAUGAUUUGGGCUACACACGUGCUACAAUGGACAAUACAAAGGGCAGCGAAACCGCGAGGUCAAGCAAAUCCCAUAAAGUUGUUCUCAGUUCGGAUUGUAGUCUGCAACUCGACUACAUGAAGCUGGAAUCGCUAGUAAUCGUAGAUCAGCAUGCUACGGUGAAUACGUUCCCGGGUCU